UACAGAGACUGCAAGCGUUAUUCGGAUUCACUGGGCGUAAAGGGUGCGCAGGCGGCCAAGUGUGUUAGGCGUGAAAGCCUGAGGCUUAACCUCAGAAUUGCACCUAAAACUACAUGGCUAGAGCAUUGGAGAGGGUAGCGGAAGUUCACGGUGUAGCAGUGAAAUGCGUAGAUAUCGUGAGGAACACCAGAGGCGAAGGCGGCUACCUGGACAAUUGCUGACGCUCAGGCACGAAAGCGUGGGGAGCAAAAGGG
rnacentral:rRNA from 1 species